rnacentral:rRNA from 1 species
ACGGGUGAGUAACGCGUGGAUAACCUGCCUUAUACAGGGGGAUAACGGAGAGAAAUUUCCGCUAAGACCGCAUAAGACCACAGCACCGCAUGGUGCAGGGGUAAAAUAUUUAUAGGUAUAAGAUGGAUCCGCGUCCGAUUAGCUAGUUGGUGAGGUGAAGGCCCACCAAGGCGACGAUCGGUAGCCGGCCUGAGAGGGUGAACGGCCACAUUGGGACUGAGACACGGCCCAAACUCCUACGGGAGGCAGCAGUGGGGAAUAUUGGACAAUGGGGGAAACCCUGAUCCAGCGACGCCGCGUGAGUGAAGAAGUAUUUCGGUAUGUAAAGCUCUAUCAGCAGGGAAGAAAAUGACGGUACCUGACUAAGAAGCCCCGGCUAACUACGUGCCAGCAGCCGCGGUAAUACGUAGGGGGCAAGCGUUAUCCGGAUUUACUGGGUGUAAAGGGAGCGCAGACGGCAAUGCAAGUCUGGAGUGAAAGGCGUGGGCUCAACCCAUGAACUGCUUUGGAAACUGUAUAGCUUGAGUGUCGGAGGGGUAAGCGGAAUUCCUAGUGUAGCGGUGAAAUGCGUAGAUAUUAGGAGGAACACCGGAGGCGAAGGCGGCUUACUGGACGACAACUGACGUUGAGGCUCGAAGGCGUGGGGAGCAAACAGGAUUAGAUACCCUGAUAGUCCACGCAGUAAAC